rnacentral:rRNA from 1 species
UACGUAGGGUGCAAGCGUUGUCCGGAAUUAUUGGGCGUAAAGCGCGCGCAGGUGGGUUUACAAGUCGGAAGUGAAAUCUCGAGGCUCAACCUCGAGGCUGCUCCCGAAACUGUGAGCCUAGGGACUGGUAGAGGCUGGUAGAAUUCCCGGUGUAGCGGUGGAAUGCGUAGAGAUCGGGAAGAAUACCUGUGGCGAAGGCGGCCAGCUGGGUCAGAUC